UGGGGAAUAUUGCACAAUGGGCGCAAGCCUGAUGCAGCGACGCCGCGUGAGGGAUGACGGCCUUCGGGUUGUAAACCUCUUUCACCAGGGACGAAGCGCAAGUGACGGUACCUGGAGAAGAAGCACCGGCCAACUACGUGCCAGCAGCCGCGGUAAUACGUAGGGUGCGAGCGUUGUCCGGAAUUACUGGGCGUAAAGAGCUCGUAGGUGGUUUGUCGCGUUGUUCGUGAAAUCUCACGGCUUAACUGU
rnacentral:rRNA from 1 species